UUCAUGGAGAGUUUGAUCCUGGCUCAGGACGAACGCUGGCGGCGUGCCUAAUACAUGCAAGUCGAGCGG
rnacentral:rRNA from 1 species